AGUAUAAUUUUACUUCUGUGAAAAAUGCUAGGUAAAGCCUCAUGUGCCUAAGUCAGUGCACCUGCAGGUGGCUAAUGAAUGCUGCUCAGUCCUUAGCGGACAGUGGUGUGCAUGCAUGCCUCUGAGUGUGUGUGUGUGUGUAUGUGUGUGUAUGCACCAGGGAGGGAAAAGUAUGGGGAUGACAGGCCUCAAGGUGAGUAUUCAGAGAACAGCUCCUUUUUCUUUCCUAUGAUCAACUAUAAGACUUGCAGGUGACACGGCACAAGUACACGUCCACCUACCUCAAAGAGGCCGCCAUGCCUUGCUGAAUCCUCUCUUCAGAGAACAAGAACAGGUAGUGCCAUGGAAGGAAAGGAAGCUUCUGUAAAGUUUGCAGUACUUCUAAUUGGAAGGAAGCAAAGGGAACCAAAAUAAACUCAGCUUGAACAAGAACCCCAGAAGGAACAUUCAUGCUUUAAACAAUGACUUUACGCAACACUGUGAAGAGGGCAAUGUUUCUGUAAGAUACUGUUAUGAAGAGCUGAAUCCUGUGAGAAACAGACGAAUUUCUGGAGACACCACUUUUUUCCUCUUAUUCAUUCAAGGACUGUUCAGUGGAUGCCUUUCUGGAUACCUGCUGUGUGCCAGACAUCAGAAACAACAUCUAUACUUUAAUGAUUCUUGUGAUGCAGAGAAAGUGAGGUGGGGAGAAGACACAGGAAAUAAACACAUAUGCAAGAUAAUUUCAGAUAGUGGGAAUGUUUGGGAUGGACGAUAGCAGAAAGCAUGCUGCAAGCAGAAUCUGGGAAGGCCUCUGCAAAAGGUUGAUGUCUGAAUGGAGCCCUUAGUGGAGAGAAACCCAGCCUUGCAAAGAUGGAGGGAAGAGUGUUCAAAGCAGAGGGAGAAACUAGUGUGAAGUCCUGAGGAGGGACUUGGAAAGAACUCAUUUUGAGGUCACAUCUUGUACAAAUAACUUUGAAUCUCUGCAUUUGAAAAAAGGCUUGAGGGAUCCUUGUCCCUUAAGACUCACAGAGGAAAAGGAUUCUGUGUUGAAAUGACUUUUAGUAAUUAAAAGUGGGGUUAAGAUGAGUGCAUUUGCUGAGCAGACAUUUACUGCAAGCUCUACAGCAAGCCGGCUGGACUCAGCUGUUCCAAAUUCUGAAUAUGAGGCUCUAUGAAAGAUUAUAUUUUCCAAAGAUGGCCACAGUAAUUCUCCUAACCCACAUGCCCAUCCUUCAAUAUGACUUUGCCAUAUACAAAUUUCAAUAGAGGAGUCCAGCUUCCGUCCCUGGAAUCUGGAGGGGCUUGUGAUUAUAGUACAAGUCAUUCUAUUUGACAUUAGAGGCCAAAGGCAAUACUGUAGUCUGUCAUGUUCUAUUGGGUCGAUACUCUAGGAAGCUACAGUGAGGAAGCACAGGCUGCUAGGUGGAGUGGCUUCAUGUAGAUAACCUCAGCUGACCUCUCAACAACAUAUGGCAAAUCCUGGUUAUGUGAAUAAAGGAGACUCAUAUGA